GAUAUGGCUCAGGACGAACGCUGGCGGCGCGCCUAACACAUGCAAGUCGAACGAGAGAUGAAGAGCUUGCUCUUCAAAUCGAGUGGCGAACGGGUGAGUAACGCGUGAGGAACCUGCCUCAAAGAGGGGGACAACAGUUGGAAACGACUGCUAAUACCGCAUAAGCCCACGGCUCGGCAUCGAGCAGAGGGAAAAGGAGCAAUCCGCUUUGAGAUGGCCUCGCGUCCGAUUAG
rnacentral:rRNA from 1 species